rnacentral:tRNA from 1 species
CGGGGAUUAGCUCAGAUGGCUAGAGCGCUUGGUUUGGGACCAAGAGGCCGCGAGUUCGAGUCCCGCAUCCCCGACCA